rnacentral:rRNA from 1 species
GCAAGAUACCACGGGCGCACGGCGGAUGCCUUGGCACAGGGAGCCGAUGAAGGACGCGGCAAGCUGCGAUAAUCCCCGGCGAGGAGCACACAUCCUUCGACCCGGGGGUCUCCGAAUGGGCGAACCCAUGCACAGCAGUGUGCAUAUCCCCGGCCCGAACACAUAGGGCCGGGGAGGACAACCCGGGGAACUGAAACAUCUAAGUACCCGGAGGAGAGGAAAUCAAUCUCGAGACUCCCCGAGUAGCGGCGAGCGAAAGGGGACCGAUGGCCAAACCGUCGAGCGGGCAUACCCGGCAGGGGUUCCGCCGGCGGGGUUGCAGGGCCGCGCAUCCGGGGGCUGCCGCCCCCGGGCGCAGGUCCGGCUGGGGAGCGGAACGGCAUGGGAGGGCCGGCCGCAGCGGGUGACAGCCCCGUACGCGAACCCAGACCGGACGGCGCGACGCGGUCCCUGAGUAGGGCCGGGCACGUGAAACCCGGUCCGAACCUGGGUGGACCACCAUCCAAGCCUGAGUACUACCCUGUGACCGAUAGCGCACCAGUACCGUGAGGGAAAGGUGAAAAGCACCCCGGGAGGGGAGUGAAACAGUACCUGAAACCGUGCGCCCACGAGCAGUCGGAGCACCCUUGUGGUGUGACGGCGUGCCUUUUGUAGAAUGAGCCAGCGAGUCGCUGGCGCGGGGCGAGGUUAACCGAAAGGGAGCCGGAGCGAAAGCGAGCCUUAACAGGGCGACUUGAGUCCCGCGCCGCGGACGCGAAGCCGGGUGAGCUAUCCGUGGGCAGGCUGAAGCGGGGGUAAGACCCCGUGGAGGGCCGAACGCACGUCGGUUGAAAACGGCGGCGAUGACCUGCGGAUAGGGGUGAAAGGCCAAUCAAACCCGGAGAUAUCUCGUUCUCCCCGAAAUAGCUUUAGGGCUAGCGUCGCGCGUUCACCGCCGGAGGUAGAGCACCGGAUGGACGAGGGGGCUUCGCCGCCUACCGAAUCCAACCGAACUCCGAAUGCCGGCGGCCCAGAGCGCGGCAGUCAGAGCAUGUGGGCUAAGCUGUGUGCUCGAGAGGGAAACAGCCCGGACCGCCCGCUAAGGUCCCCAAGUUCCAGCCGAGUGGCAAAGGAUGUGCGUCCGCCCAGACAACCAGGAUGUUGGCUUAGAAGCAGCCAUACAUUCAAAGAGUGCGUAACAGCUCACUGGUCGAGUGGACAUGCGCCGACAAUACACGGGGCUAAGCUGGACACCGAAGCGGCGGGAUUUUAUUCAUUAGAAUCGGUAGGGGAGCUUCCCAUGGGCGGAGAAGCCGGAGGGCGACCGACGGUGGAGCGCAUGGGAGUGAGAAUGCUGGCAUGAGUAGCGAGAGACGAGAGAGUAACUCGUCCGCCGUGAACCCGAGGUUUCCUGGGCAAGGCUAAUCCUCCCAGGGUCAGUCGGGGGCUAAGGCGAGGCCGGGAGGCGUAGCCGACGCGCAGCAGGCAGACAUUCCUGCACCGCGCACGCGGCGCUACGACCGACGGGGCGACGGAUGGGGGUGGCUCGGCGGGGUUCUGGACGUCCCCGUGAUGGAGCGCGGCCCGCGGACCAGGGAAAUCCGGUCCGCACGAGGGCGAGGCUCCGGACGAAGCGAUCAAGCGAAGCGAGUGAGCCCGAGGUCCCUAGAAAAACCCCUAGGCAGGCGCGUGCGCGCCCGUACCGCAAACCGACACAGGUGGGUGGGUAGAACAUACCGAGGCGAUCGGGUCAACCAUGGUCAAGGAACUCGGCACAAUGGCCCCGUAACUUCGGGAGAAGGGGUGCCCGCGCGUACGUGAACGGACUUGCUCCGGGAGCGGAGGCGGGCCGCAGUGGAGAGGCCCAAGCGACUGUUUACCAAAAACACAGGACUCUGCAGAAGCCGCAAGGCGACGUAUAGGGUCUGACGCCUGCCCGGUGCCGGAAGGUCACGCGGAGGAGUUAGCGCAUCGCGCGAAGCCCCGAAGCCAAGCCCCGGUAAACGGCGGCCGUAACUAUAACGGUCCUAAGGUAGCGAAAUUCCUUGUCGGGUAAGUUCCGACCUGCACGAA